AGAAGAAGUGUAUUCUCCUCCAUUGUCAGACCUUAAAGCCUUAAUACUAAGAUUACAUUGAUUUUCUACUAAAGCUUUAAAUUGUUUAAAAACAUCAAAGACUUCACUCUUCAGUCUUAUGAAAUAAACCCAACACAUUCUGUUGUAGUCAUCAAUAAAGAGGAGAAAGUAUCUGUUACCACUCAACGAAUCUGUUUUCAUUGGGCCGCAAACAUCCAUAUGAAUGAGCUGAAGUUUCU
rnacentral:misc_RNA from 1 species